rnacentral:misc_RNA from 1 species
GAUGAAGAACGCAGCGAAAUGCGAUAAGUAGUGUGAAUUGCAGAAUUCAGUGAAUCAUCGAAUCUUUGAACGCACAUUGCGCCCCUUGGUAUCCCGAGGGGCAUGCCUGUUCGAGCGUCAUUUCACCACUCAAGCCUGGCUUGGUGUUGGGCGACGUCCUCUUUGGGGACGCGCCUCGAAACGCUCGGCGGCGUGGCACCGGCUUUAAGCGUAGCAGAAUCUUUCGCUUUGGAAGUCGGGGCCCCGUCUGCCGGAAGACCUACUCGCAAGGUUGACCUCGGAUCAGGCAGGGAUACCCGCUGAACUUAAGCAUAUCAAAGCGGAGGA